rnacentral:lncRNA from 1 species
CUACAUAUCCAGGAUCAUGAAAAUAUUUGCUUGAAUAAAAGAGGGUCGUAUCAAGUGAAAACAUUUGAGAAGGUCUAGUAUAAGCCGAUUUAGAGAAAAGUGUGUGUUACAAAGUAAAAAAAUAUUAAUUUGCACGAACUUACAAGGAAAUCCAACCAUCCACUCGCGUCAAUUUUGAGAAACACGUGUUGUUCUUGUGUAUUAAUUUAAGAAAAUAAAAGAAAAAAAAAAGAAAAGGGAAGAAAAAUGUUCGUUCUCAAUGUUAAAACGAAAGCAGACAAAGUGGGUGGAUGACAAUGUUGUAUGGAAGUGUGGUAACGUGCGCGCGCGUCCACACGUACGUACGCGCAUACGUUAAAAGAGAAUGGAAGGCGGGGGCGUCCAGUGGGGGGCCUUAAUAAGGAUGCUGCUGAUUAUCCAAUUCGUAAAUUCUCGCUACAUUUUGAUCGUACUCGGUGAGCCGCGAAUAACAAGAACGACUACUAUCCUUCUUCUUCUCUUUCCCUCUCUUACUCAUGUACUCUCUCUCUCUCCCGGUCUUUCUUUCUCUUUCUCUUUCUCUUUCUAAAACUAUCACCACCACUCUCUCAAAAAAUACCCAUCCGCCCUCGCUUUUCUAUCCCCACCAUUAUUACAUCUACAUGCUCCAGUUUAGUUACUCGUCUAUCCUUUGAACGAAUCACUAAGACACACGUCUUUCCACGACGUCUUGUGAAUGAACGAGCAAAGGCACAUAGAUGAAAGAAAGAAAGAAAGAAAGAAAGAAAGAAAGAAAGAAA